CUACGUGCCAGCAGCCGCGGUAAUACGGAGGAUACGAGCGUUAUCCGGAAUUAUUGGGUUUAAAGGGUGCGUAGGUGGCGUAUUAAGUCAGUGGUGAAAAGCUGCAGCUCAACUGUAGUCUUGCCGUUGAAACUGAUAUGCUAGAGAGGAGACGAGGUAUGCGGAAUGUGUGGUGUAGCGGUGAAAUGCAUAGAUAUCACACAGAACGCCGAUUGCGAAGGCAGCGUACCAGGCUCCGUCUGACACUGAAGCACGAAAGCGUGGGGAUCAAACAGGAUUAGAUACCCUGGUAGUCCACGCGGUAAACGAUGGAUGCCCGCUGUCGGCGCCUUGCGCCGGCGGCCAAGCGAAAGCGUUAAGCAUCCCACCUGGGGAGUACGCCGGCAACGGUGAAACUCAAAGGAAUUGACGGGGGCCCGCACAAGCGGAGGAACAUGUGGUUUAAUUCGAUGAUACGCGAGGAACCUUACCCGGGCUUGA
rnacentral:rRNA from 1 species